UACGUAGGUGGCAAGCGUUGUCCGGAUUUAUUGGGGUUAAAGGGUGCGUAGGCGGCUUUGUAAGUCAGUGGUGAAAUAUGGCAGCUCAACUGUCAAGGUGCCAUUGAUACUGCGGAGCUUGAGUACAGAUGAGGUAGGCGGAAUUGACGGUGUAGCGGUGAAAUGCUUAGAUAUCGUCAAGAACACCUAUAGCGAAGGCAGCUUACUAGGCUGUAACUGACGCUGAGGCACGAAAGUGUGGGGAUCAAACAGG
rnacentral:rRNA from 1 species